UCCAGCACUCUCUGCUCCAAGACACUGGAAGGGAGGGAAGGAGAGAGGGCAGUGCUUGUCAGCUCCUGGGGCUUCUCAGAGGCAAGUGCCCCAUAAGCACCUGAUCACUGUCGUGGUCCCGAUGGAACUGUUUGAAGGUAGGGUGCUCUGUUAGGGUGUGAUCGGAAUUACGGUGUCACAGCUCUAAAGAGUCUCAUACUUGUUAUGACUAGACAGACAGACAGACAGAGAGACAUAAUGGGAGGUUCUGAGCUGUGUAGAGGAACAUGAGUGUCACAAGCACUCUGUGCUGUAAGGGUGCUGUGCACCCAGAUGCUUCAGUGACCUGCGCUCUGUCCAAGUGAGAUCACAAAGCAAGCCGUCUCCACUGGAGAAAACACCUAAUGGGACUGUGAGGCCCCCAGUGCAGAGAGGGUGAGGCAGGCACAGCUGUCUGUCACCUGGGCAGUGCCUGUCGUGCUCCCCGGGGACAUCUCCACCUCCACAAAGGUGUGAGAUCAGUGAGCACUGGGGCCUCUGGCUGUUAACUCUGUGCGUCUAGCAUGUCAUUUUUUUGGCAGUGAUAUCUUCUGAACCUUUAACCCCACAAACAGCCCCAGCCAGCCAAGGGUCUGGACUGUAAGUGAUAAUAACCCCCUUACCAGGGCAGCCCCAGAGGGCAGUAGCAUCCCAACGGAAAAGAACUUGCUUUGGGGUUAGCAUAAGCACGUGCCUGAGACAAGCCAGCAUCGGAUCACCCAGCCCAGACGGACUGGGGUCAACGCAGCUGAGGAGGUAACAGAUGGCCACACUUCACAACCAUCAGCAUGUAGGGACCCUGUGACACAGCAGCCUUUUACAAAAUGCACGUCAGGACCCGUCAGUGGCUUGUAAAAUCAAAUUAGUGAGUUGUAGCUCGCUUUUUCUUCAUGCAGUGGUAGAAAACAGAUGAAAAUACCGAGUAAAUUCAUGGUGGGGGCUUUGCACACUGAAGAAAUCCUGUGGCCAGUAUUGAUGAGUGCUAAAGGAAAAAUGGGAGCAAGUGUGGGGAACAGGCCGGCUGGAAACGAGUAGCCUCAUAAUUUGCUCAUGGCAUCUUAUGUGAUUUUCUGACAUGAGGGAUCACCUACAGGCUGUCACCACCAAGGUGGACUUCGGUACAGCUUCACUUCACGUCAGCAUCGCUCAAGGUUAAUCGGGAGCUGUGGGGAAGAAUCCUGUUGGCAGAAACAUCAAGAAUGGGAAUCGCAUUUGUGAUGCUUCAGUUGUGGUGUGAACUCUUCCUCCCUUCUUCCUGCCAUUCUGGUACCAUUUGCACCCAGGCCCUCAACCGUGAGGCUGAAUGAGUGGGGUUGCCUUCUGUUGGACUUACAGCUUCCGAAAUUGUGAGUUAAUUAGACUUUUGUACUUUAGAAAGUGAGUCUGGG